rnacentral:rRNA from 1 species
GUAUUAAAGGCAACGCCUGCCCGGUGAAAAAUUAAACGGCCGCGGUAUCCUAACCGUGCAAAGGUAGCAUAAUCAUUUGUCUAUUAAUUGUAGACCUGUAUGAAAGGCAAAAUGAGAGCCCAACUGUCUCUUAUAACAAAUCAAUUAAACUGAUCUCCUAGUACAAAAGCUAGAAUAUUAACAUAAGACCAGAAGACCCUGUGAAGCUUUAACUAACCUAUUAAACCCAAUAAUAACUACUUUCGGUUGGGGCGACCUUGGAAUAAAAAAGAACUUCCAACAUAUGACUUCUCAUAAAACUAGGCAAACAAGCCAAUACUAGACCCAGCACAGCUGACAAUUGAAACAAGUUACUCCAGGGAUAACAGCGCUAUCUUCUUUAAGAGCCCAUAUCAAAAAGAAGGUUUACGACCUCGAUGUUGGAUCAGGACAUCCCAGUAAUGCAACCGUUACUAAAGGUUCGUUUGUUCAACGAUUAACAGUCCUACGUGAUCUGAG